GCAAUACCGCGUGAGGGAAGAAGGCUCUUGGGUUGUAAACCUCUUUUCUCAAGGAAGAAAAAAAUGACGGUACUUGAGGAAUAAGCAUCGGCUAACUCCGUGCCAGCAGCCGCGGUAAUACGGAGGAUGCAAGCGUUAUCCGGAAUUAUUGGGCGUAAAGCGUCCGUAGGUGGUAUUUCAAGUCUGCUGUUAAAGCGUCUGGCUUAACCAGAUAAAGGCAGUGGAAACUGAAAAACUAGAGUGUGGUAGGGGUAGAGGGAAUUCCCAGUGUAGCGGUGAAAUGCGUAGAGAUUGGGAAGAACACCGGUGGCGAAAGCGCUCUACUGGGCCAUAACUGACACUGAGGGACGAAAGCUAGGGGAGCGAAAGGGAUUAGAUACCCCUGUA
rnacentral:rRNA from 1 species